rnacentral:rRNA from 1 species
GUCUACAGCCAUGCCACCCUGAAUAAGCCCGAUUCUGUCUGAUCUCGGAAGCUAAGUAGGGUGGGGCUUGGUUAGUACUUGGAUAGGAGACCUCCUAGGAAAACCAGAUGCUGUAGGCG